rnacentral:rRNA from 1 species
CAAUAGCGUAUAUUAAAGUUGUUGCAGUUAAAAAGCUCGUAGUUGGAUUUCUGGCCGAGUGUCCCUAGGCCAGCAUGACGUUUGGUCCUAGGCGCUCUGCCAUCCUUCUGUCAACCUUCGCCUUCUUCAUUGGGGCGCUGGGCUCAGAUAUUUUACCUUUGAGAAAAUUAGAGUGUUCAAAGCAGGCGUCGGCUUGAAUACAUUAGCAUGGAAUAAUGGAAUAGGACUUUGGUUCUAUUUUGUUGGUUUCUAGGACCGAAGUAAUGAUUAAUAGGGACAGUUGGGGCAUUAGUAUUUAAUUGUCAGAGGUGAAAUUCUUGGAUUUAUGAAAGACUAAAC